ACUGAAUGACACCCCCAACGCAGAGUCAGGCUAAGAUGUGCCCCACGGAUCCACAAUGGGGACCGAGAGACAAAUCAGUUGCAGGGGGAGGGGGAGGGGGAGGUGGGCAGUAAAGGCACCCGGCUGGUUUAUUUUCAAAACAGCUAGGGACAGUCCAGCUUUCCAGAGGGUGGAGGAGCAGGUAUCCAGUGCUGAAGAGUCAUGGAGACUGAGUAAGGGAGGAAAAGGGGGCUUUUCAGCUUUGGCAACGGCAGCCCACUCCAGUAUCCUUGCCUGGAGAAUCCCACAGACAGAUGAACCUGGCAGGCCAUAGUUCGUGGGGUCGCAGAGUCGGACACGACUGAUCGACUAACACUUUGACUUUGGGAGGGUCCUCAAAGCAUCCGUAGCAGGAAUGAGUUAGUUCUGGUUCUGCCAUAGCCCCAGCCCUGCAGCAAAACCUCCUUAGAUCUAUCCUCUCCUUCCCCCUCCCGGAGAGACGAGCCCACGGAGCUUGCUCCUUAAACAGGAUUAAGCCUGCCAUGCUCAUGGGCGUUGUCACCUCAGUUGCCCCACCUUCCCCACUGACAGGUCCAUUGCUGGCAGUGGACAGAGAGAUCCUAACUGCAGCCCACUUCCAGCUCUGCCGCCUCCCCCAGGGGAGGGCUCCAGCGAACGCAGCCUAUCCUGCGGAACACGGUCUCUUCUUGACCACCCUAGGACUCUUAGGAUGGAAAUCUGGUGGAAACAGACAACAGCUUGUUGAUGUCUCCCAGCCCAAGGCCUCUGUGAUUCUCUCCCAGAGCCAGCCCUUGGAUGGCCCACCGGGCCUUGGCGACCCUAAGAAACAAAUCCUCGUCUCCUUCUGA
rnacentral:lncRNA from 1 species